GACGUAGGGUCCGAGCGUUGUCCGGAGUUACUGGGCGUAAAGGGCGCGUAGGCGGCUUUGUGCGUCACACGUGAAAGCCCCCUGGCUUAACCAGGGAGGGUCGUGUGAAACGGCGAAGCUGGAGGCAGAGAGAGGCGAGUGGAAUUCCUGGUGUAGCGGUGGAAUGCGCAGAUAUCAGGAGGAACACCGGUGGCGAAGGCGGGUCUCUGGGCCGAUACUGACGCUGAGGAGCGAAAGCGUGGGGAGCGAACAGG
rnacentral:rRNA from 1 species